rnacentral:rRNA from 1 species
UACGUAGGGCGCAAGCGUUGUCCGGAAUUAUUGGGCGUAAAGAGCUCGUAGGCGGCUUGUCACGUCGGGUGUGAAAGCCCCGGGGCUUAACCCCGGGUCUGCAUUCGAUACGGGCUAGCUAGAGUGUGGUAGGGGAGAUCGGAAUUCCUGGUGUAGCGGUGAAAUGCGCAGAUAUCAGGAGGAACACCGGUGGCGAAGGCGGGUCUCUGGGCCGUAACUGACGCUGAGGAGCGAAAGCAUGGGGAGCGAACAGG